rnacentral:rRNA from 1 species
GUGUCAGCAGCCGCGGUAAUACGGAGGGUGCAAGCGUUAUCCGGAUUCACUGGGUUUAAAGGGUGCGUAGGUGGGUUGAUAAGUCAGUGGUGAAAUCUCCAGGCUUAACUUGGAAACUGCCAUUGAUACUAUCAGUCUUGAAUACUGUGGAGAUGAGCGGAAUAUGUCAUGUAGCGGUGAAAUGCUUAGAUAUGACAUAGAACACCUAUUGCGAAGGCAGCUCGUUACACAAAUAUUGACACUGAGGCACGAAAGCGUGGGGAUCAAACAGGAUUAGAAACCCCUGUAGUCC